CAUAACUUUCCUAGUUCAUAUAUGAAUGCAAAACCAGUGUAACUUCACAUCACGUACAACCACAAUAAUGGGAUCCUAAUUAGAAUAAAUUCUGCUCCAUGUAUGUAUGAUACGUCAAAAUACAUUUUACUGUCAUGUAUAACUAAAAAAACAAAAGUAAAACCUUCUUCUUCUCCAACUCCACAGGACGUGAUGUUCAGACUUCCACGUGUUCCCCAUGAAGUGCAAAUCACCCCGCUUGAGGUGAAGGAGAGCACUUCCUCCCCCAUGGCUCCAAUAUUCCUCACCCCAAUCUGUUCCACCAAAACCAGCUGAGGCCUUCGUGGGCGAUACUGGCAGAACUGCCCCCCACCCCCAGUCCCUGUGCACUCAGCUUUAGGACAAGGACCCCUCGUACUGUCUCUGGAUAUCCCACCUACCAUGUUGUUCUAUCUUUGAGACUCCUGCCAGAGCCCCAAGCUACAAGGAAACCAGGGUUUUUCAUUUUUAUGCACCUAGAGUGUUUCUGCAGGGUUCGGGCUCUGAGAGGAAUCCAUCAGCAGUGGAGGCCCCAUACUGAAGCUACCAUUUAGGGUCAGACUUACCUGUGCAGGGAAGAUCAGAGGUGAGGAAGACAGGGAUUCGCAUGAGAGUUCCUGGCCCUCGUGAAUGAAUGGAGUAGAAGGAGCGCAGAGCAGACCAGGAGAACAUCCAUCUGUCUGGGAGUGGUCCCCACUGUCACACCACGGAUUUCCAUCUCAGUCCCUCGGGGCACACAUGUGCUGUAGAAAACCACAUUCCUAGAGAGACGGUGAGUCUGGAUGACAAAGGUCUCCCUGGAAGAUUAGGAAGGAGCCACACAGGAGCCCAGAAGUCUGCUCAGGGGCGGGUGAGACUCACUCAGGGUCUUUGGUAUAGUUGGCUGAGACUAAGUGGUGAGUGGGGUAAAGCUAGGAAGAUCAGAGCUGUUUUUGCUGAUGUCACGAUUUGGAGCCCACAGGCUGAAAACUGAACCCCAG
rnacentral:lncRNA from 1 species